rfam:Photobacterium jeanii strain R-40508 scaffold8, whole genome shotgun sequence.
AGAACCUGAAACCGUGUACGUACAAGCAGUAGGAGCCCACUUGUUGGGUGACUGCGUACCUUUUGUAUAAUGGGUCAGCGACUUAAUUUUAGUAGCAAGGUUAACCGUUUAGGGGAGCCGUAGGGAAACCGAGUCUUAACUGGGCGUCACAGUUGCUAGGAUUAGACCCGAAACCAGGUGAUCUAGCCAUGGGCAGGUUGAAGGUGAGGUAACACUUACUGGAGGACCGAACCGACUAAUGUUGAAAAAUUAGCGGAUGACUUGUGGCUAGGGGUGAAAGGCCAAUCAAACCUGGAGAUAGCUGGUUCUCCCCGAAAGCUAUUUAGGUAGCGCCUCGGACGAAUACUACUGGGGGUAGAGCACUGUUAAGGCUAGGGGGUCAUCCCGACUUACCAACCCUUUGCAAACUCCGAAUACCAGUAAGUACUAUCCGGGAGACACACGGCGGGUGCUAACGUCCGUCGUGGAGAGGGAAACAACCCAGACCGCCAGCUAAGGUCCCAAAGUUAUAGCUAAGUGGGAAACGAUGUGGGAAGGCUCAGACAGCCAGGAUGUUGGCUUAGAAGCAGCCAUCAUUUAAAGAAAGCGUAAUAGCUCACUGGUCGAGUCGGCCUGCGCNGUUGGCUUAGAAGCAGCCAUCAUUUAAAGAAAGCGUAAUAGCUCACUGGUCGAGUCGGCCUGCGCGGAAGAUUUAACGGGGCUAAGCUAUACACCGAAGCUGCGGCAAUGCAUUUUAUGUAUUGGGUAGGGGAGCGUUCUGUAAGCGGUUGAAGGUGGUCUGUAAGGGCUGCUGGAGGUAUCAGAAGUGCGAAUGCUGACAUGAGUAACGAUAAAGGGAGUGAAAAACUCCCUCGCCGGAAGAUCAAGGGUUCCUGUCCAACGUUAAUCGGGGCAGGGUAAGUCGACCCCUAAGGCGAGGCCGAAAGGCGUAGUCGAUGGGAAACAGGUUAAUAUUCCUGUACUGCUUAUAACUGCGAUGGGGGGACGGAGAAGGCUAGGUGGGCUUGGCGACGGUCGUCCAAGUUCAAGGGUGUAGGCUGAUUUCUUAGGUAAAUCCGGGAAAUCACUAAGGCUGAGACCCGAUGUCGAGUCACUACGGUGAUGAAGUCAUUGAUGCCAUGCUUCCGGGAAAAGCCUCUAAGCUUCAGGUUAUAAGCAAUCGUACCCCAAACCGACACAGGUGAUCAGGUAGAGAAUACCAAGGCGCUUGAGAGAACUCGGGUGAAGGAACUAGGCAAAAUGGUACCGUAACUUCGGGAGAAGGUACGCUCCUAGCGGUGAUGAGACUUGCUCUCUAAGCUGCCGGGAGUCGCAGAUACCAGGUGGCUGCAACUGUUUAUUAAAAACACAGCACUGUGCAAAAUCGAAAGAUGACGUAUACGGUGUGACGCCUGCCCGGUGCCGGAAGGUUAAUUGAUGGGGUUAGACUUCGGUCGAAGCUCUUGAUCGAAGCCCCGGUAAACGGCGGCCGUAACUAUAACGGUCCUAAGGUAGCGAAAUUCCUUGUCGGGUAAGUUCCGACCUGCACGAAUGGCGUAAUGAUGGCCACGCUGUCUCCACCCGAGACUCAGUGAAAUUGAAAUCGCAGUGAAGAUGCUGUGUACCCGCGGCUAGACGGAAAGACCCCGUGAACCUUUACUACAGCUUGGCACUGAACAUUGACCCUACAUGUGUAGGAUAGGUGGGAGGCUUUGAAGCGCAGUCGCUAGAUUGCGUGGAGCCGUCCUUGAAAUACCACCCUUGUAGUGUUGAUGUUCUAACGUCGCCCCCUUAUCGGGGGUGCGGACAGUGCCUGGUGGGUAGUUUGACUGGGGCGGUCUCCUCCCAAAGAGUAACGGAGGAGCACGAAGGUGGGCUAAUCACGGUCGGACAUCGUGAGGUUAGUGCAAUGGCAUAAGCCCGCUUGACUGCGAGACUGACAAGUCGAGCAGGUGCGAAAGCAGGUCAUAGUGAUCCGGUGGUUCUGAAUGGAAGGGCCAUCGCUCAACGGAUAAAAGGUACUCCGGGGAUAACAGGCUGAUACCGCCCAAGAGUUCAUAUCGACGGCGGUGUUUGGCACCUCGAUGUCGGCUCAUCACAUCCUGGGGCUGAAGUCGGUCCCAAGGGUAUGGCUGUUCGCCAUUUAAAGUGGUACGCGAGCUGGGUUUAGAACGUCGUGAGACAGUUCGGUCCCUAUCUGCCGUGGGCGUUGGAUGAUUGAGAGGGGCUGCUCCUAGUACGAGAGGACCGGAGUGGACGAACCUCUGGUGUUCGGGUUGUGUCGCCAGACGCAUUGCCCGGUAGCUAAGUUCGGAAUCGAUAACCGCUGAAAGCAUCUAAGCGGGAAGCGAGCCUCAAGAUGAGUCAUCCCUAGAGCUUUAAGCUCUCUAAAGGGUUGUCGGAGACUACGACGUUGAUAGGCAGGGUGUGUAAGCGUUGUGAGGCGUUGAGCUAACCUGUACUAAUUGCCCGUGAGGCUUAACCAU